GGCGGGCCUCCCCGCAUUGCAUAAUAGUGAACCUGGUCAGGUCCGGAAGGAAGCAGCCACAGCUAUAUUCUGCAAGUGCCGGGGGUCAGGCUCGCCACC
rnacentral:SRP_RNA from 2 species